rnacentral:lncRNA from 1 species
CCGCGCCGUCCAAUCCGCGCUGCCCCGUGGCGAGACUUUUUUUAUUUUAAUUUUAUUUUAAUUCAGCCGAAUUAGAUAAUACACUUUUGCAGAAGGGCCCCUGUAACUUCAAAGCCUCAUAUCUUUCAAACCGUUUGUCCAAAAAUUGUGAUCCGCACCUUUCUGGAAUCGUCUCAACGUUUAGAAUAUUUUGGCACUGUCUAAUUUCAGUUUUGAACAAUUUAGUCAGAAGCUAUUUACAGAAUGAUUGAAUGUUGUGUUUAUUGUGUGUGUUCCUUCUAUUUUAGAUUGUGUGGAGUGUAAUCCUUGUUGCAAAGAGUGCGAGAACUAUCACAACCUUGGACAAGGCAAGUUCACUUUGAUCAUAUCCCAUUAUUAUUGUUGUUUUAAAAUACUUAUGCAUUAGUGUUGUUGGUAGAGAUGCAUUGAUAGGACUAUUACUCGUCCCUCUAUGCUAGCUAUAAAUCCCAGGUAGUCUAGUUUACCCUUGCCAUUACCUUGCCACCAAAAUUGCCAACGACUGUAGUUGAAUGCUAGGCUAUGGUAGUAUCGUGGGGAAAUAACUACAUUAUGAU